GACGAACGCUGGCGGCGUGCUUAACACAUGCAAGUCGAACGGAAAGGCCCUGCUUUUGUGGGGUGCUCGAGUGGCGAACGGGUGAGUAACACGCGAGUAACCUGCCCUUGACUUUGGGAUAACUUCAGGAAACUGGGGCUAAUACCGGAUAGGAGCUCCUGCUGCAUGGUGGGGGUUGGAAAGUUUCGGCGGUUGGGGAUGGACUCGCGGCUUACCAGCUUGUUGGUGGGGUAGUGGCUUACCAAGGCUUUGACGGGUAGCCGGCCUGGGAGGGUGGCCGGCCACAUUGGGCCUGAGAUACGGCCCAGACUCCUACGGGAGGCAGCGGUGGGGAAUAUUGCACAAUGGGCGGAAGCCUGAUGCAGCAACGCCGCGUGCGGGAUGACGGCCUUCGGGUUGUAAACCGCUUUCGCCUGUGACGAAGCGUGAGUGACGGUAAUGGGUAAAGAAGCACCGGCUAACUACGUG
rnacentral:rRNA from 1 species